UACAUGGGGUGCAAACGUUGCUCGGAAUUAUUGGGCGUAAAGCGCGCGUAGGCGGUUGCUUAAGUCGGAUGUGAAAGCCCUCGGCUUAACCGGGGAAGUGCACCCGAAACUGAGCAGCUUGAGUACGAAAGAGGGUCGCGGAAUUCCCGGUGUAGAGGUGAAAUUCGUAGAUAUCGGGAGGAACACCGGUGGCGAAGGCGGCGACCUGGGUCGAGACUGACGCUGAGGCGCGAAAGCGUGGGGAGCAAACAGG
rnacentral:rRNA from 1 species